rnacentral:rRNA from 1 species
AGUGAACGCUGGCGGCAGGCCUAAUACAUGCAAGUCGAACGGCAGCACAGCAGAGCUUGCUCUGUGGGUGGCGAGUGGCGGACGGGUGAGGAAUACGUGGGAAUCUGCCCAGUCGUGGGGGAUAACGUAGGGAAACUUACGCUAAUACCGCAUGCGCCCUUCGGGGGAAAGCCGGGGACCUUCGGGCCUGGCGCGAUUGGAUGAGCCCACGUCGGAUUAGCUAGUUGGCGGGGUAAAGGCCCACCAAGGCGACGAUCCGUAGCUGGUCUGAGAGGAUGAUCAGCCACACUGGAACGGAGACACGGUCAAGACUCCUACGGGAGGCAGCAGUAGGGAAUAUUGGACAAUGGGCGCAAGCCUGAUCCAGCCAUGCCGCGUGAGUGAAGAAGGCCCUCGGGUUGUAAAGCUCUUUUGUCCGGAAAGAAAAGCGCCGGGUUAAUACCCUGGUGUCCUGACGGUACCGGAAGAAUAAGCACCGGCUAACUUCGUGCCAGCAGCCGCCGUAAAAC